CUUUGCAGUUUUGUAGUUAAAAGUGAAGAGAAUUAAUGGUGGUUACUUAGGACAAGACUUGAUCCUAGUGGAUGCUUGGCCAGUAAGAGUUUCUAAUCCCAGGAGGUGGUGAUGUGAGUCGGUGUCAGAUUUCUGCUUCCUGUACCUACAAAGAAUCCAUUUCUCUUAUCUGCUUCCAGUUCCUGGCUUUAGAAGACACAGAGGGUGUGGCUUAAGCCCCUCAACUCAGUCACAGGAAAUGAAAUCCAGAAGAGGGGGACAAAGCUCAAGCAAAGUCCUAGAUGGAAAAAGAUUUUUCCAGUGCGAUGUGGUGGGCGGAGACGGGACCACGCUGAUGGCUGUCGGAGGGGUCGGCCCGGAGCAGACACUUCCCGGGAACCCGAGCGCCAUCCCUUAUGUCAGAAAACCCUCCUGGUGCAUCUGAAAGGUAAGUGCUCUCAUCUCCACCAACGUUCCAGGAGAUCAGGGCCCAGAGAGGUGUCAAUAGGCAUCUGAUGGGCAAUCAAAAUCUGGCACCUUCUCGGGGCUCUACAACCACGGGGGCCUGGCCAGGUCGGGGCACGAAGCUCCUGGGGGAAAAGAGGGCUCUGGAGCCCCAUGCACAGCAGUGAGGAGGUUGAGGGACGUGCAGGUGGCUCUUCCCGCCCUGUGGUUUCUCUCCUGACCCUGGUCCCUUGCCCGGCCUCACCCUCCCCCUGCCCUCCCCCGGGGCCCACACUGGCUUUCUCAGGACCUUGCAGAGGA
rnacentral:lncRNA from 12 species